rnacentral:rRNA from 1 species
UGGGUGACCUGCCCCCUACUCUGGGAUAAGCCUGGGAAACUGGGUCUAAUACCGGAUAUGACCUGAGGUUGCAUGACUUUGGGUGGAAAGCUCUGUCCUUUCGGGGAUGGUGUGGUGGGGGAUGGGCCCGCGGCCUAUCAGCUUGUUGGUGGGGUGAUGGCCUACCAAGGCUUCGACGGGUAGCCGGCCUGAGAGGGCGUCCGGCCACACUGGGACUGAGAGACGGCCCAG